CGGGAUGUGGCGCAGCUUGGUAGCGCAUCCGCUUUGGGAGCGGAGGGUCGCAGGUUCAAUCCUGUCAUCCCGACCA
rnacentral:tRNA from 1 species